GCAGCCAAGAGCAUGCUGACCAAGAAGGCUGACGGCGUGAAGACCCCGACCAACAGCACCAAGAACAGCGCCGCUGCCACCAGCCCCAAGGGGACGCUCCCUCCAGCCACCCUGGAACCUCAAACCACCGUCAUUCAUAACCCUGUGGACGGGAUCAAGGACUCGUCGGACAGCGCCCACACGACCAUCGAGGACGAGGACACGAAAGGUGCGCG